CUGUGGCUUCGGUCCGGAUGUGCCAACAGGUAACACUGUUGGUAAUUCUAUCCAUAACACCUGUGAACUGUUGGAUGCUUGCAUCCACUUUUAUACUAAACAUUAUUGUAACAAAUGUAGUCUUAUUAUAACUAAUAAAACUUUUAACAACGGAUCUCUUGGCUCUCGCAUCGAUGAAGAACGCAGCGAAAUGCGAUAAGUAAUGUGAAUUGCAGAAUUCAGUGAAUCAUCGAAUCUUUGAACGCACCUUGCGCUCCUUGGUAUUCCGAGGAGCAUGCCUGUUUGAGUGUCAUGAAACUCUCAAACCCAAGUUUUGGAUUUCGAUCCAUGCUUGAGUUUGGAUUUGGAUGUUUGCCGGUGAUCAGCCGACUCAUCUUAAAAGUAUUAGCUAGAUCUGUCUCUAUGACUGGUUUGACUUGGCAUAAUAAGUAUUUUGCUGAGGACAUCUUCGGAUGGCCAGGACCUAGACUAUUGUCUGCUAACUAAACCAUCACUUUAAGUGCAUCUUCGGAUGUUACUCAUUGUGUAACUUUGACAUCUGGCCUCAAAUCAGGUAGGACUACCCGCUGAACUUAAGCAUAUCAAUA
rnacentral:rRNA from 1 species